rnacentral:misc_RNA from 1 species
UCCCCGUUCACCGGGGCAGUCCCCUCAGAGUGCCCGGCAUGACCCGGUAGCAACAAAGGGCAAGGGUUGCGCUCGUUGCGGGACUUAACCCAACAUCUCACGACACGAGCUGACGACAGCCAUGCAGCACCUGUGCAUCGGCCCCGAAGGGAAGACAGCUUUCACUGCCAGUCCAAUGCAUGUCAAACCCAGGUAGGGUUCUUCGCGUUGCGUCGAAUUAAACCACAUGCUCCACCGCUUGUGCAGGCCCCCGUCAAUUCCUUUGAGUUUCGGUCUUGCGACCGUACUCCCCAGGCGGAGUGUUUCACGCGUUAGCUGGGCUUGACAUGCGCCAGACAUCCCCAGAGAUGGGGCUUCCCUUGUGGUUGGUGCGCAGGUGGUGCAUGGC